rnacentral:rRNA from 1 species
UACGUAGGUGGCAAGCGUUGUCCGGAAUUAUUGGGCGUAAAGCGCGCGCAGGUGGUUUCUUAAGUCUGAUGUGAAAGCCCACGGCUCAACCGUGGAGGGUCAUUGGAAACUGGGGAACUUGAGUGCAGGAGAGAAGAGUGGAAUUCCACGUGUAGCGGUGAAAUGCGUAGAGAUGUGGAGGACACCAGUGGCGAAGGCAGCCCCUGGGCUAACACUGACGCUCAUGCACGAAAGCGUGGGGAGCAAACAGG